CUUAAGGGAAUUGAGGGACCCCGCACAAGCAGCGGAGCGUGUGGUUAAUUUCGAGGCUACACGAAGAACCUUACCAGGGUUUGACAUGCAAGUGGUAGGAAUCCGAAAGGUGACCGACCCUUCGGGGAGCUUGCACAGGUGCUGCAUGGCUGUCGUCAGCUCGUGUCGUGAGAUGUUCGGUUAAGUCCGCUAACGAGCGCAACCCUCGUCGUGUGUUAUACGUGUCACACGAUACUGCCGGUAUCAAGCCGGAGGAAGGUGGGGAUGAUGUCAAGUCAGCAUGGCCUUUAUAUCCUGGGCUACACACACGCUACAAUGGCAGAUACAAUAGGUUGCGAAACCGCGAGGUGGAGCCAAUCCUCAAAGUCUGUCUCAGUUCAGAUUGUAGGCUGCAACUCGCCUGCAUGAAGUUGGAGUUGCUAGUAAACGCAGGUCAGCUAUACUGCGUUGAAUACGUCCCGGGGUUU
rnacentral:rRNA from 1 species